UUGACCUCAAAUCAGGUAGGACUACCCGCUGAACUUAAGCAUAUCAAUAAGCGGAGGAAAAGAAACCAACAGGGAUUGCCUCAGUAGCGGCGAGUGAAGCGGCAAAAGCUCAAAUUUGAAAUCUGGCGUCUUUGGCGUCCGAGUUGUAAUUUGAAGAAGGUAUCUUUGGGCCCGGCUCUUGUCUAUGUUCCUUGGAACAGGA
rnacentral:rRNA from 1 species